UACGUAGGGGGCUAGCGUUGUCCGGAUUUAUUGGGCGUAAAGAGCGUGUAGGCGGCUAGGUAGGUCCGUUGUGAAAACUCGAGGCUCAACCUCGAGCUGUCGAUGGAAACCAUCUAGCUAGAGUCCGGAAGAGGAGAGUGGAAUUCCUGGUGUAGCGGUGAAAUGCGCAGAUAUCAGGAGGAACACCGGUGGCGAAGGCGGGUCUCUGGGCCGAUACUGACGCUGAGGAGCGAGAGCGUGGGGAGCGAACAGG
rnacentral:rRNA from 1 species